rnacentral:rRNA from 1 species
AUUGAACGCUGGCGGCAUGCCUUACACAUGCAAGUCGAACGGUAACAGGUCUUCGGAUGCUGACGAGUGGCGAACGGGUGAGUAAUAUAUCGGAACGUGCCCAGUCGUGGGGGAUAACGCAGCGAAAGCUGUGCUAAUACCGCAUACGAUCUAUGGAUGAAAGCGGGGGAUCGCAAGACCUCGCGCGAUUGGAGCGGCCGAUAUCAGAUUAGGCAGUUGGUGGGGUAAAGGCCCACCAAGCCAACGAUCUGUAGCUGGUCUGAGAGGACGACCAGCCACACUGGAACUGAGACACGGUCCAGACUCCUACGGGAGGCAGCAGUGGGGAAUUUUGGACAAUGGGCGCAAGCCUGAUCCAGCAAUGCCGCGUGCAGGAUGAAGGCCUUCGGGUUGUAAACUGCUUUUGUACGGAACGAAAAGGCUCUGGUUAAUACCUGGGGCUCAUGACGGUACCGUAAGAAUAAGCACCGGCUAACUACGUG